UGGGGACUCAUAGGAGACUGCCGGGGUCAACUCGGAGGAAGGUGGGGAUGACGUCAAAUCAUCAUGCCCCUUACGUCUUGGGCUUCACGCAUGCUACAAUGGCCGGUACAGAGGGCUGCGAAACCGUGAGGUGGAGCGAAUCCCUUAAAGCUGGUCUCAGUUCGGAUUGGGGUCUGCAACUCGACCCCAUGAAGUCGGAGUCGCUAGUAAUCGCAGAUCAGCAACGCUGCGGUGAAUACGUUCCCGGGCCUU
rnacentral:rRNA from 1 species